CAGACUCAGUGAAUCAUCGAAUCUUUGAACGCACAUUGCGCCCUCUGGUAUUCCGGGGGGCAUGCCUGUUCGAGCGUCAUUACAACCCUCAAGCUCUGCUUGGUGUUGGGCCUGGCCCUGUAGGGCCGGCCUCAAAGUCAGUGGCAGCACCGUCUGACCCUAAGCGUAGUAAUACUCGCCGCUUUUGUGGUUAUGCGUGGGCUGCCAAUCAACCCCCACCAUCAAGGUUGACCUCGGAUCAGGUAGGGAUACCCGCUGAACUUAAGCAUAUCAAUAAGCGGAGGAAAAGAAACCAACAGGGAUUGCCUCAGUAACGGCGAGUGAAGCGGCAACAGCUCAAAUUUGAAAGCUGGCUCCUUUGGGGGCCCGCGUUGUAAUUUGUAGAGGAUGCUUCGGGUGCGGCGCCGGUCUAAGUUCUUUGGAACAAGACGUCAUAGAGGGUGAGAAUCCCGUAUGUGACUGGUUGCCUGUGCCCGUGUGAAGCUCCUUCGACGAGUCGAGUUGUUUGGGAAUGCAGCUCAAAAUGGGUGGUAAAUUUCAUCUAAAGCUAAAUAUUGGCCAGAGACCGAUAGCGCACAAGUAGAGUGAUCGAAAGAUGAAAAGCACUUUGGAAAGAGAGUUAAACAGUACGUGAAAUUGUUGAAAGGGAAGCGCUUGCAAUCAGACUUGCACGGCGUCGAUCAGCCUGGGUUCUCCCUGGUGCACUCGGCGCCGUUCAGGCCAGCAUCAGUUUUGACGGUGGGAUAAAGGCCUAGGGAACGUGGGUCGCCUCGGCGACCGUUAUAGCCCUAGGUGCCAUGCCGCCUG
rnacentral:rRNA from 1 species